AAAGCUUUACAUAAAUUGUGCGCAACAAAGUUUAGAGACCACAGUUUGGGAAGGUAAGAGAUCUUGAGACGAGGACGACUCUACAAAGCUACAGGAACACGUGUGAAGAAAGCUGCGAGACAUGAAGGGCAGGAUUUCUGUCCUCUUGUUUCUCACAGCGCUGUGUUCUAUUGCACAAUGCAGCUU